ACGAACGCUGGCGGCGUGCUUCACACCUGCCAGUCGAACGGAAAGGCCCUGCUUUUGUGGGGUGCUCGAGUGGCGAACGGGUGAGUAACACGUGAGUAACCUGCCCUUGACUUUGGGAUAACUUCAGGAAACUGGGGCUAAUACCGGAUAGGAGCUCCUGCUGCAUGGUGGGGGUUGGAAAGUUUCGGCGGUUGGGGAUGGACUCGCGGCUUAUCAGCUUGUUGGUGGGGUAGUGGCUUACCAAGGCUUUGACGGGUAGCCGGCCUGAGAGGGUGACCGGCCACAUUGGGACUGAGAUACGGCCCAGACUCCUACGGGAGGCAGCAGUGGGGAAUAUUGCACAAUGGGCGGAAGCCUGAUGCAGCAACGCCGCGUGCGGGAUGACGGCCUUCGGGUUGUAAACCGCUUUCGCCUGUGACGAAGCGUGAGUGACGGUAAUGGGUAAAGAAGCACCGGCUAACUACGUG
rnacentral:rRNA from 1 species